rnacentral:rRNA from 1 species
ACGGCUCAGUAACACGUGGAUAACCUGCCCUUGGGUCUGGGAUAACCCCGGGAAACUGGGGAUAAUACCGGAUAACGCAUAUAUGCUGGAAUGCUUUAUGCGUAAAAUGGAUUCGUCUGCCCAAGGAUGGGUCUGCGGCCUAUCAGGUAGUAGUGGGUGUAAUGUACCUACUAGCCUACAACGGGUACGGGUUGUGAGAGCAAGAGCCCGGAGAUGGAUUCUGAGACAUGAAUCCAGGCCCUACGGGGCGCAGCAGGCGCGAAAACUUUACAAUGCGGGAAACCGUGAUAAGGGGACACCGAGUGCCAGCAUCAUAUGCUGGCUGUCCAGAUGUGUAAAAUACAUCUGUUAGCAAGGGCCGGGCAAGACCGGUGCCAGCCGCCGCGGUAGCACCGGCGGCCCGAGUGGUGAUCGUGAUUAUUGGGUCUAAAGGGUCCGUAGCCGGUUUGGUCAGUCCUCCGGGAAAUCUGAUGGCUCAACCAUUAGGCUUUCGGGGGAUACUGCCAGGCUUGGAACCGGGAGAGGUAAGAGGUACUACAGGGGUAGGAGUGAAAUCUUGUAAUCCCUGUGAGACCACCUGUGGCGAAGGCGUCUUACCAGAACGGGUUCGACGGUGAGGGACGAAAGCUGGGGGCACGAACCGGAUUAGAUACCCGGGUAGUCCCAGCCGUAAACGAUGCUCGCUAGGUGUCAGGCAUGGCGCGACCGUGUCUGGUGCCGCAGGGAAGCCGUGAAGCGAGCCACCUGGGAAGUACGGCCGCAAGGCUGAAACUUAAAGGAAUUGGCGGGGGAGCAC